GAUGAACGCUGGCGGCGUGCCUAAUACAUGCAAGUCGAGCGAACAGACGAGGAGCUUGCUCCUCUGACGUUAGCGGCGGACGGGUGAGUAACACGUGGAUAACCUACCUAUAAGACUGGGAUAACUUCGGGAAACCGGAGCUAAUACCGGAUAAUAUAUUGAACCGCAUGGUUCAAUAGUGAAAGACGGUUUUGCUGUCACUUAUAGAUGGAUCCGCGCCGCAUUAGCUAGUUGGUAAGGUAACGGCUUACCAAGGCGACGAUGCGUAGCCGACUUGAGAGGGUGAUGGGCCACACUAGACUUGGCACGCGCGCCAGGCUCCUACGGGAAGCAGCAGUAGGGUAUCUUCCGCAUUGGGCGAAAGCCUGACGCAGUAUCACCGCGUGAGUGAUGAAGUUUUUCGGAUCUUAAAACUCUGUUAUUAGGGAUAAACAAAUGUGUAAGUAACUAUUCACGUCUUGACGCUUCCUAAUCAGAAAGCCACGGCUAACAACGUG
rnacentral:rRNA from 1 species